GGUUAGGCUUGGAAACCCCAUUAUCUCUUAUCCUCAAGAUUUAGAAGUGGUUGUUACGUUUUACAUUUACCAGUGAUGGCAAGGGCAGGUAAACUCAGAUGCCUCCGAUUGAUUAGAAAUAGAUGUUUUUCAGUUGCUUCACAUGGCAUGGUAAAGGUAUGCUGCCUGACCUCCGUAGGCAUGGGCUUGUGGCCCUGGAGUUCCAGCAUUCCAUGGGGCUGGCUAUCAAUCAGUUCCUGAAGGUUGUAAGUUCUUUCACUAGUUUCCUGCCCUGUGACACAUUCUGUGCAUGGAAGUUAUACUUGGGUUUUCCCCAGAACAACAUCUGCAAACACAUACAAAACACGUUUAAGGCGAGUUAUUGCAACAGAUACGACUUGUUGAUUCUUGCUAGUUUCAUGUUCCAAAGGGGCUUCUUUUGCUAAAUUAGGGACACUUUUAUAUACUGACAACUCCCCAAUUUUUAUAAGGGAUUUAGAGGCUCCAGGCUCAUAAAGCAUUCUGUUAAGAAGUCAUGAGGUAAGCUGAAACCCAUUUUAUUUCAUAGAUGAGCCAUGGUAAUGAUCAAUAACUAUUCACUGCUAGCCUUUAUUGAGUACUUACUGUGCCAAGUGCUAGACUAAGUAAUCCUAUUCAGGCCUCACACAGCCUUAGGAAUUUGUACUUCUAAUACCCAUUUCACGAAUGAUGAAACUGAGGCACAGAAAGCUUGGAAGCAAAGGAACCAGAAUUCAAACCUAGACAAUCCACCCUCUUAACCACCUCAGCUGCCUCUAUGCAGAAAUCCCCUUGUGAGUGUCACGAAUUUCACAAUCAUUGCCUGAAGUCUCACACCAACCCAGAGGCCUCAUAUAGCAACCUGGUCACACACAAGAAUCACCUGAGGGACGUUUAAAGCAUACCCAGUCAUGAGAAAAAUACAGUAAUGGUUAACAUUUGGGGAAUUUAGUUAAGGGUAAGUGGGAAAUCUCUGCAUUACUCUUGCAGUGUUUCUAUAUGUCAGAAAUUAUAUCAAAAUAGAAAAUCAAAAGAAAAAAUGCAUUAGAAGAAUUUUAGUUGACCUGGAGUGAUUUCUACAGGAAUUGUUAAUAGCAAGAAGUGUUAACACAAAGCGUUAAUAACAGAUAAGUGUCUGUGAUAUGAUCCAAUCUGUAUAAAGCAAAUGAUGACAAAUGCAUAUAUACACUUGUACCUAUGUCCUUACAGGAGGAUGGAAUAAAAUAAGUAGGAUACAUUAAAAAACAUUGGAGCUCAGUUCCCAGAGAUUCUCUUUUAAUUGGGCCUGGGUAUGGGUGUGUCUUGCCAAUGGGUUCAGCCCCGGGCAAGUCCACUAUGGAUUCAAUGUGACCAAAGA